AGUCGAACGAGAAAAUCCUAGCUUGCUAGGGUGAGUAAAGUGGCGCACGGGUGAGUAACACGUGAGUAAUCUGCCCCUAAGUCGGGGAUAACUCCGCGAAAGCGGGGCUAAUACCCGAUAUGCUCACGACUACUGCGGUAGAUGUGAGAAAAGGUGGCCUCUGUCAUAAGCUAUCGCUUAAGGAUGAGCUCGCGUACCAUUAGCUAGUUGGUAGGGUAAUGGCCUACCAAGGCUACGAUGGUUAGCUGGCCUGAGAGGGUGGCCAGCCACACUGGAACUGAGACACGGUCCAGACUCCUACGGGAGGCAGCAGUGGGGAAUCUUGCGCAAUGGGGGAAACCCUGACGCAGCAACGCCGUGUGAGUGAUGAAGGCUUUCGGGUCGUAAAGCUCUGUCAGAUGGGAAGAAUUAGUUUGCUGAUAAUAUUGGCAAAUGAUGACGGUACCAUCGAAGGAAGCACCGGCUAACUCCGUGCCAGCAGCCGCGGUAAUACGGAGGGUGCAAGCGUUGUUCGGAAUUAUUGGGCGUAAAGCGCGUGUAGGCGGAUAGAUAAGUCAGGUGUGAAAUCCCUUGACUCAAUCAAGGAACUGCACUUGAAACUAUUUAUCUCGAGUACGAUAGGGGAGGGCGGAAUCCCAGUGUAGAGGUGAAAUUCAUAGAUAUUGGGAGGAACACCAGUGGCGAAGGCGACCCUCUGGAUCGAUACUGACGCUGAGACGCGAAAGCGUGGGUAGCAAACAGGAUUAGAUACCCUGGUAGUCCACGCUGUAAACGAUGUGCACUAGGUGUUGGAGGUGCUUAAUCCUUCAGUGCCGCAGCUAACGCAUUAAGUGCACCGCCUGGGGAUUACGGCCGCAAGGUUAAAACUCAAAGGAAUUGACGGGGGCCCGCACAAGCGGUGGAGUAUGUGGUUUAAUUCGACGCAACGCGAAAAACCUUACCUGGGCUUGACAUGCUGGGAUUAGUUCCAGGAAACUGGAGCGAUUACCUUCGGGCGUAACCAGCACAGGUGCUGCAUGGCUGUCGUCAGCUCGUGUCGUGAGAUGUUGGGUUAAGUCCCGCAACGAGCGCAACCCUUACCGUUAGUUGCCAUCAUUCAGUUGGGCACUCUAAUGGAACUGCCGGUGUCA
rnacentral:rRNA from 1 species